rnacentral:misc_RNA from 1 species
UAAUUUGUCAUUUAAGAAAAAAUAUAUUAUUACGUUGUAAAAUAUUGCUAAAUAUAAAUAUAUCGCCAUAUAGCAAUCAUAGCGAAAAUAUAACAUUUUAUGUAAAUUCUUUGUAUUUAUAAUGAAAAAAAAAACGACGAUUUAUAUGAUUAAGAUAUUUAUUUACACACCAAUAAUUCUUUACUAUAUAUAAUUAUAUAUAACAAAAGGUAACUUUCAUUACUUAUUAUAAAAUUAUAUCAGUACUACUCGCAGGUAACGAAAACAUGAUUUAUUAAAUAUUUUUUGCCUUCUUGUGUACAUAAUAUUAUUAUAAACAAAUAUUAUUAUAUCGUAAGCAGAUUUAUUUUAAUAAUGAUAAUUAAAAAAAGUUAUAUUUAAUGUUAAUGACAAUAUAAACGGAAUAUAUACCUAACUAAAAAACAUCUUUACAACAAUUUGAAAAUAAAACAUUACAAGAUAAAAAAGUACCCAUAAAUAAACAUAAAACCCCAUUAAAUACUCCGUCUCAUAACAAUAAUAAAUUAUUAUCUUAUAUAUAAAAUUCUCGUGUCACAAUGUUAGUUACAAUACUCCUCCGAAACGGCUGGACCGAUUUUUUAUGAAAUUUUGUGUGCUUAUCGGCUAGGUCUGAGAAUCGGCUAACAUCUAUUUCUCAUACCCCUAAGUUAUAGGGGGGUUGGUUAAUAGCAUAUAUGGCAAAACAACGAUUGCGGGUUCAGCUAGUUAUAGUAUAAAUAAAUAAUUAUAGUAAAUAUACACACAUUGUCGUUUUUUUUAGGUAGCAGCCGAUUUACGUAUACGAGAUUAUAUACUUAUUAUACUUAUUACAUAUUUUUUAUAUUUUAUAAUAAUCUAUCAAUAUAAAUAAAAAUAAAUGUUGCUAAGCGCAUAACUCGAGAAUGGCUCGACCUAUUCCAUUAAUUUAUUUUAUUGUAUGUUCCUUAAUAAGCUCCACGGAAGGUUUUAAUAAAAAAAAAUACUAUUAGAUUUUGUCAGAACGAAGUCUGUCCGGGUAGCUAGUUGUAUAUAUAAUAUAUAUAUAUAAAUUACAUUAAAACUCCAGGUGGGAAUCGAACCUACAUACACAUACGCUAUUUUUGCUUUAUAGUUCACCAAAUCAAAGAACAAAUAAAAAUACAACUAAGUUAUACCGUCAUAAUAUUAUUAACUAAAAAUACAACUAUAAUAGGUGGUGUUAGUUCUAAAAAGCAAUUCCUUUCAGACAACCUUUGAGUGAAAGAAAUAUUGCUUUGCAAAAGCUGGUGCUUUAAUAUUAUAAAUAACUAAAAAAGGCCAAUAAAUAUUUAAAAAAAAUCUAUUAUAUUUAAGUAAGUAUCGUUUAUAGGAAACUUAUAUUUACAAUGCUCACUCAUCCGUAUGUUCGUCACGGUCGUCCAUAUUACACGUAAAAUGCAAGGCUAUAUCUAAAUCAUAAUUAUGGCCUAUUAAACUUGUUUCUAAUUUUCCGAUAGGCUGAUUUCGGUUUCCGUGAUUUGAUUCAUAUAUUUACAUAAUUUGGCAUGUAUAUAGAUAAAUAGAUUGAUAGAUAGAUAAGCGUAUAAUACCUUGACUUGAGCAUAUUAAAAAUAUUAUAGCAAAACUUCUUUACGUACGCUUGACUUGAGAAGUAAGCUGUUGAAUGCGUAACAAUAGCGUUACGAAAAGUAUGAUCGGGGGUGACCAAACUGUUAUAAAAAGUGUGAUCGGGCGAGGUGAACGGAAGUUUAGAGGGAGAUAUAAGUUACUGAAGAUAGAAAGAGAGAGAGUUACGUUUCGUACAUUGCAGGGACAACUAAAGAGGUUUUAUUUCAGUCGUUUGGUCUAAAGCACAUUCGUUUUUAUAUGAUGUUGCCAGGCCUUAAAAUAAAACUGACACUGUUGCGGUUCGGCCACGGGUUGAGUCCUCCAGCUCGGGACACACAAAACGCGCCCGCAAUGCACAAUAUUAUCGCUAACCCUAGUAUCACCCAGCGGAUGGCUUCGACGUAGCCCAGUAGCUUAUUCGCUUGGUGAAGUUCUUCUUGGAUAUUUUUUGGUAUUUCUGCGCC